AUUGAACGCUGGCGGCAGGCCUAACACAUGCGAGUCGAGCGGAUGAAGGGAGCUUGCUCCUGGAUUCAGCGGCGGACGGGUGAGUAAUGCCUAGGAAUCUGCCUGGUAGUGGGGGAUAACGUCCGGAAACGGGCGCUAAUACCGCAUACGUCCUGAGGGAGAAAGUGGGGGAUCUUCGGACCUCACGCUAUCAGAUGAGCCUAGGUCGGAUUAGCUAGUUGGUGGGGUAAAGGCCUACCAAGGCGACGAUCCGUAACUGGUCUGAGAGGAUGAUCAGUCACACUGGAACUGAGACACGGUCCAGACUCCUACGGGAGGCAGCAGUGGGGAAUAUUGGACAUUGGGCGAAAGCCUGAUCCAGCCAUGCCGCGUGUGUGAAGAAGGUCUUCGGAUUGUAAAGCACUUUAAGUUGGGAGGAAGGGCAGUAAGUUAAUACCUUGCUGUUUUGACGUUACCAACAGAAUAAGCACCGGCUAACUUCGUG
rnacentral:rRNA from 1 species